GGAGAGCAGUAAGCGGAGUUAAUCACACCCUUCCUCUCAAGGAGAGUCCACUCCUCUUUCCGGAUGGAGUCUGCAGAAGCUUCCAUUGGUUCCAGCUGAAGCCAAAAGCAGUCAUGUAUAGAGGACACGGAAUGGGCUGAUCUGAGCCUCUGUCAUUCCGUGGAGUUGUGAAUCUUGGUUCUUCCUGGAAGAAACUGAAGUGGACUUUCCUCCUGUCUGAUACUUCUCUGUCUUCAAAAGUGGAAGCACUCAAAGCUACUCUAUCCAAGAGAGUAGCUACUGGAAUCAGACAGACCCAAGCUGAAUCCGGGCACCACCAUUUGCUACAGCUCUUAACUGAAGGGAAGUCACCCACCUUUUCAGCUUCAGUUUUCUCCGCUGUUCCUGUGGGGUUGCCAUGAGGACUGAAUCUCCUAAUGUACAUGAAGCAAAGCACAACGGAGGUAGCAGCAGUGGAUGUGAAUCAGCAGGAGUGGUUGUUACUGUGCCACCGUUCCCUAUUUCCUUCCUGGGAAAUAUGAAGUAAAGGCAGUUCCAUUUUUCCCAGGGCUGGUUGGGCCGUAUGGCUGGCUAGGCCCCUUCUUUCUUCACCUUCCAUGUGCACCCCUCCAAGCAUGCAUAUGGGGUGGAAGUGGGUGUCCUUCCGGUGUUCUUCAGUUCAGGGUUCACUCCCAUGGAACAUGAAAAUGAAAAAUGGUAGAAAA
rnacentral:lncRNA from 1 species